CUUUCCUAACGCAUCGAUUCUUACCUCUCCUGCUAACGCAAUCCCUUCGACCCUGCCCUCCUCGCGAACCUGGACGUGAUCCUCCCGACGCGUGCCCUCAUCUCGUCCUCGCGCCGCCGUCCUCUCCUAGUCCGACCUUGACCUCAUUCCUUCGAUUCCGGCGACUCCUCUGUGCCCCUGGCCUGGCCGACGCCGUCACAUCCGACGCCGAGGAGCCGGCCUGAUAGGCUUGAACCAUCCCUUGAUCCCUCGAGUCUUCUGCAUCCCUCGAUGUCUCGAUCCCUUGUCUUCUCCAUCUCUCGAUCCCUCACAUCCUUGCUGCUACGAAGAGAACGGUUCCCUUUCUACAUGGUCUGGCGUGAAAGAGCUCGAGCAAGGAGGGCGUGUGCGGCCACCUCGCGCUUCGGCGAGAUCCUCGAGGCUGUCAUCGCAGACAAGGGCACUGGAAGAUCCAAGGGCGGCGGAUUCAUGAGUACCGCCCAAACAAUUCUCUCCUCCCCUCAUCAUCGCUUGAUCUCCCCGUAGUUAAUAUUCUUGCUUAAUUCAACCCCAUUAGUUGAUGCUUGGCAUGUUACGUUCCAGGAGGCGGAGGCUGCCAUUAGGGCGUGCUUGGGCCGGUACCCGGUGAUUGACGGUCGGAGGGCCUACUGCAACCUCGCCUGCCUCAGGGUCCAGAUGUCCAAGGCGCCACAACCAACUGCCUCUGCAUCCAUAUGCUGGGUGUCCAUGUUGGACGGAGACUUUCUCGUAGCCGAUGGUUGCCCUUCAAGCACCAACAAAUUAGAAAUUCCAAGCCCUGCUGAGAUUACGAGCUGGGUGGAAAGGGAAUCAACACCAUCACGCCAAAACAUUGAAGGAGCAAUCCAAGAGCUAAAAACUACAGUGAUCUCACUAUCCAUCAACAAUUGUUAUUUUUCUCUAUCUACGUCCUAAUCAGGCCCUAGAGCUUGAACCUUCUUCAGCAAAUAAGGGUCACCAAGUUCUUAUAGUCAGUCACUGGACCACAACGCUUGAUAUCCUUCAAUGGACACUGGAAGUAAUAUGAGCUACAGAUAUGCGUCCCAAUGGGGGGUUAUUUAUUUCCUCAACAAGGUACAGUACAGUAGGACAGGUAAAGUGAACACACAACUUGAUUCUAUGGUUCUUAGAAUGUCACUGUACUAUGUUUUAGGCUAAGCAGAAGCAGCGUUGGCCAUGAAGAACAUCAGUUUAUCUUUAAGAUAUCUCUGAAAUUUUGGAGAGUCUGAUGUGUUACGAAUUAUUGUUGUAUAUAAGGAGAAUAGUAGGAGAAGAUCUGCACUUGUGUAUGUGUGCAAGUUACAGUACAGUAGGAAUGGUAAAGUGAACACACAACUUUUUUGGAGGGAAAGGUCAUAAUGGCUAGCUUUAUUAACUCAAACAAGAAUUACAUCGUUCACUAAUUGGCUGAUCAGAAACCAUGGGGGUUCAUCAGUCCAAUUUUCAUUACAUUUAUUAUAAAAACUAAACUUUGCUAGCUCAUGAGCUACUGAAUUAGCAUAACGAAAACAGUGUGAAAAGAUGAUCUUCCUUUCGAUGUUGCCGUAUCAAUACAUCCUGCAAAGAUUGCCGUUGUUGCAUCCCACCACUGUGCUUGUCCCUGGCAAUUGUUAACAACACUCAAGAAAUCAGAUUAUGCUUCAGUUCUAUUAAAUCCCAAAGUAUUUGCUAGAUUUAACCCAUCACAACUUGAUUUUAUGGUUAUUACAACGUAACCGUAAUAUGUUUCAGGCUAAGCAGAAGUAGCGUUGGCAUUGAAGAACAUCAAUUUAUCUUAACGAUAUCUCUGAAAUUUUGGAGAGUCUGAUAUGUUACGAAUUAUUUUUGUAUAUAAGGAGAAUAGUAGGAGAAGAUCUGCAGUUGUGUAUGUAUAAGCUUUACUGACGUAGUUUUUUGUUCUUGCAAGAUCCUAACCGUUUACCCAUUUGCUACCUAGAUUCACUUACUGAUUGUAAAUUGCUUAACUUCUUGCACAUAAAAAGACAAUAGGCUUGGAUUUGUGAAACAACUAUAUUUUUCUGUACAAUGGUGAAAGAGCUACAUUGCUAUAUCGCUCUCUAAUUCAAUUUCUUCAAUUCCAUAUGGACAUAGGAAACUUGAAUACUACACCACAACUCUUAGGCCUGCCAAACUAUAAGGAUGAUCACGUGGUCAUGAGCGGAACCGGAUGUACCCCGUAAGAAAUUUUAUCUAAUUCUGAUCUCGAGCUCAUGGAUAAUCCACCUGAUGGAGUCAAAGACAAACAUCCUAGCCCAAUCCCCAUCAUGCACACGGAUCAAUGUGAAUUACUUCCUGGCCACCGCAACUACAUCAUGUCGAUCGAUGAUGCAAGUGUUUGGAGUAUCAUUUAUCAAUAUGUAAUGUGCCAGUAUACAUUAUUUUUAUUCUUACCACCCAAUUUUCAGGAAGGAAUGGGUCCGAAGCUCGACACCUCGUCCAAUGGUCUUAAGUCUCAAAAAACUUCAGGGCAUACUUAACAUGGAGCAGUCUAUGGACAAUGAUUGUUUCAACAUUGUCGUGCAUAUACUGGCAUGUGACGAGGGAGUAUUGUUCGCAGACCCUCCUAUACACUACAUGGAUUUACAAUUUUGUGUAAAUUAUCAAAAUUCUUCAUUCAAUAUCAUUAGUAUCAACAUGUUUCUAAAUAGUUUUUUACUCAGUCCAUGAUGCUGGAUUCAACACGAGAUCAAAAGUUCUGCGAUAAGGAAACUAUUCAGAAAUUGGCAACUUUGUUUGAUAGCUGGCUUGGGAUAGACAACAACAUCUCAUCGGGCAACAUGGUAAGUAAGGUCUUUUGUCUAUUGUUUAUCAUGGUUUAUGUUGUCUGUAAUAGCUACCACUUAUAGAUUUAUCUUCCAUAUGAAUCCAUCGGUCGAUACAUCUUGUACGUCAUCGACAAAGAGGCACGUCGUGUAUCUAUUCUGGACCCUAUUCAUACAACACAAUCGUCAGAGAUGAAAAUUCUGAGGUACUUAGUGAAAUUAAAAAGUUUUGCAAGGGAAUUCAAAGAAGCACUCGAAAUAAAGCAACCAGGAUGAAAUUUUGAUAUAUCCAAAUGGCAACGUUUAUUUGUUAAUGGCAUUCCAACGAGCGUAGAUGGGUAAUAAAUUUAGAAUAUAAACAUUUAUUUUUGUUAUCACAAUAUUUAAUGUAAUAACAAUUUAGGAAAUUGCAAGGAUUUGCCAGGCUAUUUUGUCUUUCAUUUUAUGCUAUUGUGGAACUGUAAAGACCUGGCGAAGCUGGUUUGUGUGGUGUGUAUUGUGCGUUACACAUGUUUUUAAACCUUCCACGUGAAGUAUUCGUGCUAGAUAUAUAUAUUGCUUUUGCAGGAUGGGUAUGAGUUGAGGAAGCAGUUUUUAUAUACUUGCUCAAACAUCGUGCGAAUGAAGCUAAAGACAACUUGCCUGAUAUUGUGAAGGAAUUUCUGAAGCGCAUCAAGUAGAUCUCAAUACUUUGUAAUAGAUUUUUAGUUGGAUCAUCACUUUAUACAUAUACAUUGUUAAUAUGCUAUUUUGUGAUCACUUUACAUUACAAGUGAAGUGGACUUCAAUUAUUAUGCAAUUGUGAACCUCUUAUAUUGUCUCCACAUGUGACUAUUUCAGAAGCCCGUGGCCCUUCUUUUCUUUCAGAUAGUGGGAUGCGUUGAUCUGCUGAAUCAAGAAGAUCAAGUCCUCCCGGGCAAGGCGAACCUUAACGCACGUGCAUUCUACUACUUAGGAGUAGAGAUUGAUUUGUAGUAAUCAUAUAAGAUCAGUUUAGAUAGAUAGAUUGAUUGACAAGCCAGGGAAAAAAUCUGUUUUGAAUAUAGAUUGAUUGAUUUUGUCCUCUCCCCGCCUAAAUAGGGUUGCAAGAAAAGCUCGAGGCUCGUGAGCCGCUCGAGAUCGACUCGUAUUUUAGCUCGACUCGAAAAGAAAUUAGCUGAGUGAUAUGUCUUCAACGUAUCUAUAAUUUUUGAUUGUUUCAUGCUAUUAUAUUAUCUAUUUUGGAUGUUUAAUGGGCUUUAUUAUGCACUUUUAUAUUAUUUUUGGGACUAACCUAUUAACCGAAGGCCCAAUGCAAAUUGUUGUUGUUUUUUUGCCUAUUUCAGUGUUCCGCAGAAAAGGAAUAUUAAACGGAAUCCAAACGGAAUGAAACCCUCGCGAGGAUCGUUUUUGGAACAAAUGCAAUCCAGGAGAUUUGAAGUGGACGUCAAGGAAGCAACGAGGCGGCCACGAGGUAGGAGGGCGCGCCCAGGGGGUAGGCGCGCCCCCACCCUUGUGGGCCCCUCGUGGCUCCACCGGCCUACUUCUCUCGCCUAUAUAUACUCAUAUACACUGAAAACAUCCGGGAGCACCACGUAACCCUAUUUUCACUGCCGCAACCUUAUCUACCCAUGAGAUCCCAUCUUGGGGCCUUUUCCGGCGCUCUGUCGGAGGGGAAUCGAUCAUGGAGGGCUUCUACAUCAACAUCAUAGCCUCUCCGAUGAUGUGUGAGUAGUUUAC
rnacentral:rRNA from 1 species